CAUCUCAGAGCCAACCCUUGCGCACACACACUGGCUUCCACUCCAUCGUCCAGUGCAGUCGAACAAAAUACGACGCUCCGCCAAAAAAGUACUAAUCUACGAAAAGAUUCUCAGAAUGGCUACAGUUUCCCAGAAGUGGUACCAGACGUCGAUGGAAAGUUUCAUGAACAGAGUGGCGAUUGUCAGCGUGUCCACUUACAGGGACCGAUACCUGGAGGAGAUGAAGAAAAAUGGUGACCAGACGCCGAAGGCUGAGCGGAAUGGACAAGUCAAGGGCAGCCGUCAAAAUCCAUCAAAAACAUGCCAAAAGUGAAAACCAAUUCAUCGAACAACCUUGUGCAAGGAUUGCAGCACAUUGAGAUAUUUUGAAGAUCGAUAAGCAACUGCGAAAUGAAAUGAAGCAGCUAGCUUGUGCAAUGUUUAAAACAAAUCACCUUAUUUUUAGAUCUGCAGAAAGUAAUCCUGAAAUAUUAAUGUUGAAUUCUGAUGUUGUCAAGAUUUCUCAAAAUUUGUUAACGUUGACCUUUCAUGUUGCCUUUCAAAGGAAGCUCAAUACUUGGUUAAAGAUUUAUUGCUGGCAAUUUUUCUAUUAAACAAUUAAAUU